rnacentral:rRNA from 1 species
UACGUAGGGGGCGAGCGUUGUCCGGAUUUAUUGGGCGUAAAGAGCUCGUAGGCGGUUUGGUAAGUCGGAUGUGAAAUCUCCAGGCUCAACCUGGAGGGGUCAUUCGAGACUGCUAUGACUAGAGUUCGGUAGAGGAGUGUGGAAUUCCUGGUGUAGCGGUGAAAUGCGCAGAUAUCAGGAGGAACACCAAUGGCGAAGGCAGCACUCUGGGACGUGACUGACGCUGAGACGCGAAAGCGUGGGGAGCAAACAGG